rnacentral:sRNA from 22 species
UAAGGAUAGUUGUAUUUUUUAUUAUUUUGAAAUCAAUUGAGUACAUUUAGAGUGAGAACGAUUGUAUGAAUAGGGUAUACCCAAAAUAUACACGAAAGCAUCGUUGUAAAUACAUGAUUUUAGGUGUAUGAUUAGGGUGUAUAUUAAAUGGUUUUGAAAAGAGGUGCUUUUUAGUCAUGAAAGUAGCAUAUGCUCGAGUAAGUUCUACAGAUCAAAAUUU